UACAGAGGUCUCAAGCGUUGUUCGGAUUCAUUGGGCGUAAAGGGUGCGAUAGGCGGCGCGGUAAGUCGGGUGUGAAAUCUCGGGGCUUAACUCCGAAACUGCAUUCGAUAACUGCCGUGCUUGAGGACUGGAGAGGAGACUGGAAUUCAUGGUGUAGCAGUGAAAUGCGUAGAGAUCAAUGAGGAAGACCAGUGGCGAAGCGG
rnacentral:rRNA from 1 species